UCAGUGUUGAGUAGGGAUGGGCAUUGUUAAGAAAUUAUCGAUAUCGAUGCCAUUGUCGAGUCUGCUUAUCGAUGCGAUUCCUUAUCGAUUCACAUAUCGAUUCCUGUACCAUUUGCUGAACACUUAUAGGAUGGCUUUGAGAGUUGUUGGCUUUGAAUGUCUAAUUUAAAUGGUUUUAGAGAAUGAAUAUCAAGUGUGCAAUAACAGUACAGAAGUUGAAUACU